rnacentral:rRNA from 1 species
GGGAAUUUUGCGCAAUGGGCGGAAGCCUGACGCAGCAACGCCGCGUGGAGGAAGAAGGCCCUCGGGUCGUAAACUCCUGUCCAUGGGGAAGCUGGUGACGGUACCCUUGGAGGAAGCCCCGGCUAACUCCGUGCCAGCAGCCGCGGUAAUACGGAGGGGGCUAGCGUUGUUCGGAAUUACUGGGCGUAAAGCGCACGUAGGCGGACCGGAAAGUCAGAGGUGAAAUCCCAGGGCUCAACCUUGGAACUGCCUUUGAAACUCCUGGUCUUGAGGUCGAGAGAGGUGAGUGGAAUUCCGAGUGUAGAGGUGAAAUUCGUAGAUAUUCGGAGGAACACCAGUGGCGAAGGCGGCUCACUGGCUCGAUACUGACGCUGAGGUGCGAAAGCGUGGGGAGCAAAC